CUGCUUGAUAUCAUAUGGUUUUGCAGGAGCUAUAAGAUGUUGAGGAAAGCUUGAAGCUUCUCUAGAUGAAAGGCACUCCAAGAGCUCUGGUGAAUCUGUUAUCCAGCCUGAUGGGAAUGGUAAAGACGGAGCUGACACAGAGGCCAUGAAGUCCGUUAUGGCUACAGAAGCUGGCGAGCAAAAAAGAACUAUUUGAGGUUAAUGGAAGAGAAGGUUCAGGAGCUAGAGAGGAGUUGGACUGUUAUACAGGAAAGAGCACUGAAACAGCCUUCUCCAGCUCAGAGAGAGAAGUCAUUGGAUAAACAACUCCAAACUCUAAUCGAGCAAUUAGCUGCAAAGCAGGGCACAAGCAGAGGGGAUUGUUGGUGAGAUUCAUUCGGAUGGAGUUAGAGAGAUUGUGGAGAAGAUAUGAGAGCUUUGACGUCGUCGAGGGAAACGCUGCAAGGAACAGAUUCAAAAAGAACAAAUUCAGAUAAGAGGAUUUGGAUCAGACCAUGAGGUUGAUGCUCAUUCCUACCUUCCAUAUUCAACUGCUACAAGAACUGACACCCAAACAAGGCUCAUGUAUCUCAGGUCAGCUUUUGUGGCUUUGCACGUCCUCGUUUUCAUCAAGAUUUCCUUCUGAGAUAUUAUGUACGACUGCUUUUACUUUGCAUAUAAAAUUUAUAUGAAUAUGAUAACUGUUCGUAAAUGGUUUUCCGUCCUUGCAUAUGAAUGAAUAUACAUGGGCAAUCAAAUACUAAGACUUCUACAGGAAUCUUUUUUUUUGUUUGAUUUAAAAUUGGUCUCAUCUACUUAUCCUUGAGGAAUGGUUUUUA